CACGUAGUUAGCCGGCGCUUCUUAUCCAGCUACCGUCAACCCACCCACCAGGGGCAGGCCUGCUUCACUGGCGAAAGAGGUUCACAACCCGAAGGCCUCCAUCCCUCACGCGGCGUCGCUGCAUCAGGCUUGUGCCCAUUGUGCAAUAUUCCCCACUGCUGCCUCCCGUAGGAGUCUGGGCCGUGUCUCAGUCCCAGUGUGACCGUCCACCCUCUCAGGCCGGCUACCCGUCACCGCCUUGGUAGGCCAUCACCCCACCAACAAGCUGAUAGGCCGCGAGCCCAUCCCCCACCAAAAACACCCAAAGGCGCAUCUUUCCCACACCCACCAUGCAGCAGGCGCAGAAUAUCCCGUAUUAGCCACACUUUCAUGCGGUUAUCCAGAAGAAGGGGCAGGUUACUCACGUGUUACUCACCCGUUCGCCACUCAUCCACCACCCCCAAAAAGGAAGGCGCUUCACCGUUCGACUUGCAUGUGUUAAGCACCGCCGCCAGCGUUCGUCCUGUACCG
rnacentral:rRNA from 1 species